rnacentral:rRNA from 1 species
GAUGAACGCUGGCGGCGUGCCUAAUACAUGCAAGUUGAGCGAACAGACGAGGAGCUUGCUCCUCUGACGUUAGCGGCGGACGGGUGAGUAACACGUGGAUAACCUACCUAUAAGACUGGGAUAACUUCGGGAAACCGGAGCUAAUACCGGAUAAUAUAUUGAACCGCAUGGUUCAAUAGUGAAAGACGGUUUUGCUGUCACUUAUAGAUGGAUCCGCGCCGCAUUAGCUAGUUGGUAAGGUAACGGCUUUCCAAGGCAACGAUGCGUAGCCGACCUGAGAGGGUGAUCGGCCACACUGGAACUGAGACACGGUCCAGACUCCUACGGGAGGCAGCAGUAGGGAAUCUUCCGCAAUGGGCGAAAGCUUGACGGAGCAACGCCGCGUGAGUGAUGAAGGUCUUCGGAUCGUAAAACUCUGUUAUUAGGGAAGAACAAAUGUGUAAGUAACUAUGCACGUCUUGACGGUACCUAAUCAGAAAGCCACGGCUAACUACGUG